UACGUAGGGUCCGAGCGUUGUCCGGAAUUAUUGGGCGUAAAGAGCUCGUAGGCGGUCUGUCGCGUCUGCUGUGAAAACUCGGGGCUUAACCCCGGCCUGCAGUGGGUACGGGCAGACUAGAGUGCGGUAGGGGAGACUGGAAUUCCUGGUGUAGCGGUGAAAUGCGCAGAUAUCGGGAGGAACACCGGUGGCGAAGGCGGUUCUCUGGGCAUUAACUGACGCUGAGGAGCGAAAGCAUGGGGAGCGAACAGGG
rnacentral:rRNA from 1 species